rnacentral:ncRNA from 1 species
CUUUGUACACGCGGGAGCUCGGAGCACCGGGCUGAGAGGGCGCUGACCUCCGCACAGGCCAUGUUUCACGUGGAACAUCGCCGGCGGACACCGCUGCGUCGACCGCUGAACCUGUUACCGGGUAAUGCCGGCGUAGGGAGUAGGUCUCAUGACCAU